rnacentral:rRNA from 1 species
GGGAUCGAAGAUGAUUAGAUACCAUCGUAGUCUUAACCAUAAACUAUGCCGACUAGGGAUCGCGCGGGCUUCAUUUACGACUCGCGCAGCACCUUAUGCGAAAGCAAAGUCUUUGGGUUCCGGGGGGAGUAUGAUCGCAAGGUUGAAACUUAAAGGAAUUGACGGAAAGGCACAACAAGGUGUGGAGCCUGCGGCUCAAUUCGACUCAACUCGGGUAACCUUAGUAGGGCAGGACAAAGUAAGGAUUGACAGAUUGAGAGCUCUUUCUUGAUUCUUUGGGUGGUGGUGCAUGGCCGUUCUUGGUUGGUGGAGUGAUUUGUCUGGUUAAUUCCGAUAACGAACGAGACCCCAACCUGCUAACUAGACUGCGCUAUCUUCUCGAUAGCUCAGCGCUUCUUAGAGGGACAUUUCGGAUUUACCGGAAGGAAGUUUGAG